AACGAACGCUGGCGGCAUGCCUAACACAUGCAAGUCGAACGAGACCUUCGGGUCUAGUGGCGCACGGGUGCGUAACGCGUGGGAACCUGCCCUUAGGUUCGGAAUAACUCCCCGAAAGGGGUGCUAAUACCGGAUAAUGUCUUCGGACCAAAGAUUUAUCGCCUUUGGAUGGGCCCGCGUUGGAUUAGCUAGUUGGUAGGGUAAAAGCCUACCACGGCGACAAUCCAUAACUGGUCUGAGAGGAUGAUCAGCCACACUGGGACUGAGACACGGCCCAGACUCCUACGGGAGGCAGCAGUGGGGAAUAUUGGACAAUGGGCGAAAGCCUGAUCCAGCAAUGCCGCGUGAGUGAUGAAGGCCUUAGGGUUGUAAAGCUCUUUUAACCGGGAUGAUAAUGACAGUACCGGGAGAAUAAGCUCCGGCUAACUCCGUG
rnacentral:rRNA from 1 species